AUUGAACGCUGGCGGCAGGCCUAACCCAUGCAAGUCGAGCGGAGCGGCGGACGGGUGAGUAAUGCCUGGGAAUCUGCCUGGUAGUGGGGGAUAACGUCCGGAAACGGGCGCUAAUACCGCAUACUAUAAGAGGAGCCUAGGUCGGAUUAGGUCGUUGGGGGGGUAAAGGCCUCCCAAGGCGAAGAUCCGUAACUGGUCUGAGAGGAUGAUCAGUCAUACUGUAACGGAGACACGGUUCAGAUGCCUACGGGAGGCAGCAGUGGGGGAUAUUGCACAAUGGGCGAAAGCCUGAUGCAGCGACGCCGCGUGGGGGAUGAAGGCUUUCGGGUUGUAAACCUCUUUCGCUAUCGAACGGGUAGGUGGAGAAGAAGCGCCGGCUAACUACGUGCCAGCAGCCGCGGUAAUAC
rnacentral:rRNA from 1 species